UACGGAGGGUGCAAGCGUUAUCCGGAUUCACUGGGUUUAAAGGGUGUGUAGGCGGGCUUUUAAGUCAGUGGUGAAAUCUCCAGGCUCAACCUGGAAACUGCCAUUGAUACUAUUGGUCUUGAAUUUUGUUGAGGUAGGCGGAAUAUAUCAUGUAGCGGUGAAAUGCUUAGAUAUGAUAUAGAACACCGAUUGCGAAGGCAGCUUACUAAGCAAAUAUUGACGCUGAGGCACGAAAGCGUGGGGAUCAAACAGGA
rnacentral:rRNA from 1 species